AGCCCUAAAAAAUAUUAAAUAAAUUAAAAAGAUAUCUUAAAUAAAUUUCCACUAAGUUUUAAUUUAAUCUUAGUUGAAAUUCUAAUGGAAUUCAAUCAAAUCCUAGACAAACCUUAAAUCCUAAAUCAAACCAUAAAUCAAAUCUUAGACAAAUCCUAAAUCAAACCAUAAAUCAAAUCCUAGACAAAUCCUAAAUCCUAAAUCAAAUCCUAAAAAAAUUCUAAAUUUUAAACCAAAUCUUUGAUCAAACCUUAGAUCCUAAACCAAAUCCUAGAUCAAAUCUUAUAGUCCAAAUAAAAUCCUAAAUCAAAUCCCAAACAAAUCCUAAAUCAAACUCUAGACAAUUUAGAACCUUAAUAUCUAUCAAUUGAAUUAUUGAUCUUGAUAAAAAAUUUAUAUAAUUUUUAACAACUGAAUUCACAAUAAGUAUAUGAAAUUUGAAGAUAAUUGCACUUACCAAAUAGAAGAAAAAUCCUAAAAUUUGCUCGGGUAUUAGCUAG
rnacentral:lncRNA from 1 species